AGUGAACGCUGGCGGCGUGCUUAACACAUGCAAGUCGAACGAGAACGGGUUAUAGCUUGCUAUAAUUGUCAGCUAAGUGGCGCACGGGUGAGUAAUGUAUAGGUAAUAUGCCUCUUACUAAGGGAUAACAAAUGGAAACGUUUGCUAAUACCUUAUACUCCUUAUUAACAGAAGUUAAUAAGGGAAAGAUUUAUUGGUAAGAGAUUAGCCUGUAUUGUAUCAGUUAGUUGGUGGGGUAAUGGCUUACCAAGACUAUGACACAUAACUGGUUUGAGAGGAUGAUCAGUCACACGGGAACUGAGACACGGUCCAGACUCCUACGGGAGGCAGCAGUGGGGAAUAUUGCACAAUGGACGAAAGUCUGAUGCAGCAACGCCGCGUGGAGGAUGACACAUUUCGGUGCGUAAACUCCUUUUAUAUGAGAAGAUAAUGACGGUAUUAUAUGAAUAAGCACCUGCUAACUCCGUGCCAGCCGCCGCGGUAA
rnacentral:rRNA from 1 species